GUGGUCUUGUUCCUCCAGAACCCUCUGCCGUGCGGCGCGGUUCCUCUUUCGUUCAGAAGGCAAGAGCGAUUUUGGAUCCGGGGCCUCCAGCUCCCGCCGCCCUCUCCCGCCGAAUCCCGGAGCUCCGUUCGUCGAGGAGAUGGGGAACAGUGCAUCUGCGACAACCGUCGCCCCAACUGCAGAAGAAAAAACCGGGCAAGCUCCAGCGCCUGACACGAAGCCGAAGAAGAAGAUAUGCUGCGCCUGCCCCGACACAAAGAGGCUGAGGGACGAGUGCAUCGUGGAGCAUGGCGAGGAUGCGUGCGGGAAGUGGAUCGAAGCCCAUCGCCUAUGCUUGAGAGCCGAAGGGUUCAACGUCUGAUACGUUUAAGAGCGUCGCACUUCUGAACGACGAACAAUGUCGGUUAACAGUUUGAUCGCUGGGCAUUCCAGUUUGCGGGGAGGGGUGUUCUCCCCCCUAAUAGGCAUUCAGCGCCACAGAUGAUAUAUGGAAUUUUGUUAUAAAUGGUACCGUGUUGGGCUUUCUCCAAACGGUGUCAUUGUUUGGAGACAUUCUUGUUUCUUCUUGUCUGCUGGUUGGGCUGGAUUUUUCACUGAACUAGAUGAUACCCCGCACGUUGUUGCGGAAACAUUUGCAAUACAUUUCGAUGAUAUGUGAUUUCUAUGGAACGUGAAUAGUGAUACUAUGAAAACUAAAAUUGCAAAUCCA